rnacentral:rRNA from 1 species
UUUUUGACGGAGAGUUUGAUCCUGGCUCAGGAUGAACGCUGGCGGCGUGCUUAACACAUGCAAGUCGAACGAUGAAG